rnacentral:lncRNA from 10 species
GCAUGGACACGCGAUCAGAUUCGCUACCGCAGAGCUCUAGCUCCGGAGCGCGCCAAGUUGAAGGCCAAAGUCGAGGUUGGGAUGCCCGAUGCCUGGCGCGGGGAGACGGAGGAAGCAAAGUGCUGGAAGGAAGCAAGACUGGUAGCUGAGAUGAAAGAGGUGGUGGAGGAAUGAAUUGGUUUGGAAAAGUGAAGACAUUUUUGUAGAGGAGAACUGAAUGAGUUGCUGACAAAUGUCAGUAGGACUGCCAGGCAGUGCUGAGGACCUUGUUGAGAGUGACCUUCAAUAUUGCUAAUAAUGAGCCUGGUCAUGUGGUUUUUCUCAAAUAGCAUCCAGCUGACCAGGUGUAACUAAAGAGGUGGCAGCCAGGAGAUUUUCCAGGGCUAGAGUUCUACAAGACAGAGGCAAUGUGAGAGCAUCAAGGCAAGGAAGUUUCUGAUAUCAUUGACUGUGUGGCUGCCAUGCUAGACCUGGGAAUUGAGGCUGGAUAUGGACGGAGGUGAAGGGAGGAUGUGGCAAAUAGAGGAAAAUCUAGGAGUCAAUAACUAGGCAAUGACAAAGAACUGAUGUAUGAAACUAGUUGGGUGAGUGAGCUAGAUGGAUCCAAGGGAGUGUUGGAGAGUGGGGAAUCUGGACUCUGGACUCUGACUUAGGUGAAUGGCAUGAUCAGCCCAGAGUUUGACCAAGAGCAAAAGUGGCUUACGUGGAGUGAAGAGGAAGGUCAUUGGAGAUGAGGAGGUCAAACUGAGGGGCCUUUGUGUUGGAGGAAUUGCCCAUAUAAUGUACUGAAGUCACUGAGGAUGAUGGUGGACCUUCAGGAGAGAGGAGGAUCAUGGGCUAAAGAUUAAAGUCUUCACGACUGCCUGGUGGAAAUACAGUAUUAUAUAAUGACAUGCUACUAUGCAUCUCUACCUAACUCCUCGUCUGGUGAUGCCAUAUUGAAAUCAGCCAUACUGAGAGUAUUUACACACUGCUGAAGUCAGUAAAUGCUACAAAUCAAGGCUUGAAUGUAACCUACAUGAGAAAGAGUUGCCUUGCUCACUGCCGUAUCCCAGUAUCCCAAGAACCUUGGAGAUGCUCUAUGAAUACUGAAUGAAUCUGAGAGGAAACUAGCCCGAAGGGGGAAGGCUCUGGAAGCAAGCCCUCAUGGACCAACGGAGAAAAAGGAAACUGAAUCUUGGGGAGAUUAAGCAACUCUUUCAAGGUCAACCGGGGAGCGGCAGAACCAGAGUUCGAAGGAAACCUUUCUGAAUCUGACGUCUGCCCCUUCUAAAUUAGGACUCUCAUCUAUCAGCCUGUGAGAAAAAAUACAGAAAGCAUCAUUCAGGCAACACAUGAACUCAAGACACUGAGACUUCGCUAACCUUCCUCGCACACAAGGUCCUAAAGGAACUACCACACGCAUGUCCACAUUUGAUGCACAUAACAGACUCUCACCGCAUUGAAAUAAACCCCAGUAUGAUCAUAAUAGCUUUUUUCUUUCAAUUUUUAUUGAACACAAGUAUUCCGACAGAAUGCAAAGUCAAAAUUCUCAGUUAGUACUCAGUAUUUAC